rnacentral:misc_RNA from 1 species
UCCGGUUUGACACCGGCAGUCUCCCUAGAGUGCCCGGCAUAACCCGCUGGUAACUAGGGACGAGGGUUGCGCUCGUUGCGGGACUUAACCCAACAUCUCACGACACGAGCUGACGACAGCCAUGCAGCACCUGUGCAGGAACUCCGAAGAGGGCGCCUGGUUUCUCAGGAGUUUCCCAUGCAUGUCAAGCCUAGGUAAGGUUCUUCGCGUUGCGUCGAAUUAAACCACAUGCUCCACCGCUUGUGCGGGCCCCCGUCAAUUCCUUUGAGUUUCAGCCUUGCGGCCGUACUCCCCAGGCGGGGUACUUAACAUAUUAACUCCGACAGUGACGGCAUCGGACCUCCACUGCCUAGUGCCCAUCGUUUACAGCUAGGACUAC